rnacentral:lncRNA from 1 species
UUUCUCUUCGCAUGAUCCAGUUAUACAUGCUCAUAAGAAAGGAUCACUAAUAAGCUCUUCCAAUGCAAGCAAGAAGCUUGAGGGUGAGCUCUAGACUUACAAAGCAAAACAGAAAGCGUCUGACCUAGUGUACACUAGCUUCUUAGAUGGUUGCGGGAAGCUAUCUGGCUUUAGGCUACAAUGUAAAUUCUAGAAUUGCCUAAAUGACUUAUCAUAAUUGAAUAGUAGUUUAUUAAGCAUUUAGGACAGUUACAUGCAUUGGGACACUAUGUCAAUAGGGUCCUAGUUUGAAUAUUUUGGGGGACUAAGAUGGUUAUGCAGUGGGGAUUAUGUAAAGGA